rnacentral:rRNA from 1 species
UACGUAGGGUGCAAGCGUUAAUCGGAAUUACUGGGCGUAAAGCGUGCGCAGGCGGUUGUGCAAGACAGAUGUGAAAUCCCCGGGCUCAACCUGGGAAUUGCAUUUGUGACUGCACGGCUAGAGUGUGUCAGAGGGGGGUAGAAUUCCACGUGUAGCAGUGAAAUGCGUAGAGAUGUGGAGGAACACCGGUGGCGAAGGCGGCAUCCUGGACCGACACUGACGCUGAGGAGCGAAAGCCAGGGGAGCAAACGGG